rnacentral:rRNA from 1 species
AGGACGAACGCUGGCGGCGUGCUUAACACAUGCAAGUCGAGCGGAAAGGCCCUUCGGGGUACUCGAGCGGCGAACGGGUGAGUAACACGUGAGCAACCUGCCCUUAGCUCCGGGAUAGCUCCGGGAAACCGGAAUUAAUACCGGAUACGACCACGGCCGACAUCUGCUGUGGUGGAAAGGAUUCCGGCUAAGGAUGGGCUCGCGGCCUAUCAGCUAGUUGGUGGGGUAAUGGCCCGCCAAGGCGACGACGGGUAGCCGGCCUGAGAGGGCGACCGGCCACACUGGGGACUGAGACACGGCCCAGACUCCUACGGGAGGCAGCAGUGGGGAAUAUUGCGCAAUGGGCGAAAGCCUGACGCAGCGACGCCGCGUGGGGGAUGAAGGCCUUCGGGUUGUAAACCCCUUUCAGCAGGGACGAAGCGAAAGUGACGGUACCUGCAGAAGAAGCGCCGGCUAACUACGUGCCAGCAGCCGC